GCGUUGGUCAAACGCCCAUGGGCGGCAGCCAAGGGGAGAGGGGGCUGGGCUGUGGGGACCCAGGAACCUUGCCCCCUCCUGCUGUGGGGUCGGAGUGAGGGUCUGGCAUGGGGAGACUGCUGUGAUCCUGCUCUUCCUUGGCCCACGGAGGCAGUGUCCCAACUACCGCCUCCCUUCACUCAAAGAAACCUGGGGUUCCUGGGAGCUGACUCCUGUGCAGAGGCAGCAUGGUGGGGUGAAUGGUGUCCCCCAAAAGGUACGUCCAUAUCCUAUCCCACAUGCUUGUGAAUAUGAUAUCAUUUGGAAAAAGGGUCUUUGCCGAUCAGAUUAAGAGAUAAGGAGAUGAAGACAUGCUGGAUUUAGGGUGGGCCCCAAAGCCAAGGACUUGUGUCCUUUUAAGAGAUAAAAGGAGGGCUGGGUGCAGUGGCUCAUACUUGUAAUCCCAGCACUUUGGGAGGACGAGGUGGGCAGAUCACCUGAGGUCAGGAGUUUUCAAGACCAGCCUGGCCAACGUGGUGAAACCCCAUUUCUAUUAAAAAUACAGAAUUAACAGGAUGUGAUGUCUGUGAUUCCAGCUACUUGGGAGGCUGAGGCAGGAGAAUCGCUUGAACCUGGCAGGCAGAGGCAGGAGAAUCGCUUGAACCUGG
rnacentral:lncRNA from 10 species